AUACGGAGGAUCCGAGCGUUAUCCGGAUUUAUUGGGUUUAAAGGGUGCGCAGGCGGGAGAUUAAGUCGGCGGUGAAAUUUUGCAGCUCAACUGUAAAAGUGCCUUCGAAACUGGUUUCCUUGAGUGUAGAUGAAGUAGGCGGAAUUUGUGGUGUAGCGGUGAAAUGCAUGGAUAUCACGAGGAACUCCGAUUGCGCAGGCAGCUUACUAAACUACUACUGACGCUCAGGCACGAAGGCGUGGGGAUCAAACAGGAUUAGAUACCCUGGUAGUCCACGCAGUAAACGAUGAUUACUAGCUGUUUGCGAUACAAUGUAAGCGGCUGAGCGAAAGCGUUAAGUAAUCCACCUGGGGAGUACGUUCGCAAGAAUGAAACUCAAAUGAAUUGACGGGG
rnacentral:rRNA from 1 species